rnacentral:rRNA from 1 species
GUCUACGGCCAUACCACCCUGAAGGCACCCGAUUUUGUCUGAUCUCAGAAGCUAAGAAGGGUCGGGCCUGGUUAGCACUUAGUAUUUGGAUGGGAGGAAAGGAGAACAGGAAAAAAUAUUCA